UCCACUGUUGAAGGGGUGAGACCUCCCAUCAUCUUCUACCUCAGAUCCCUUCAGUUCAUCUGUUUGCAUCAUGUUCAGGCUCCUUGUACAUUUAGCAGCUCUGCCGUUCUGUCUGACAGAACUCUCUAAAAACAGCGUUGACCAGAAUCCCUCUGCCAUGAUGAAACAUCCUGGAGACGCUGCAGUGAUUAAAUGCAGCCACUCCAACUCUGACUGGAAAAUGAUCCAGUGGUACAAACAGUCUGCAGGGACCACGGAGAUGGUUCUUCUUGGCUAUGUUCGAUAUUCUAAUCCAAGCACUGAAGACCAGUUUAAAGACUCAUAUAACAUGAGCGGUGAAGGGUCCAGUCUGUCAUCCCUUCACAUGUUAAAGUUAAGCGAAACCGAAGACGGCGCUGUGUUUUUCUGUGCAGCGAGUAGAGCACAGUGAUGAAAACUCCUGCCAACUUUGACAAAAACCUUCUGUGGUAACACAUCUACAACACUUCAACAGAUA